GACGAACGCUGGCGGCGUGCUUAACACAUGCAAGUCGAACGGAAAGGCCCUGCUUUUGUGGGGUGCUCGAGUGGCGAACGGGUGAGUAACACGUGAGUAACCUGCCAUUGACUUUGGGAUAACUUCAGGAAACUGGGGCUAAUACCGGAUAGGAGCUCCUGCUGAAUGGUGGGGGUUGGAAAGUUUCGGCGGUUGGGGAUGGACUCGCGGCUUAUCAGCUUGUUGGUGGGGUAGUGGCUUACCAAGGCUUUGACGGGUAGCCGGCCUGGGAGGGUGACCGGCCACCUUAGGACUGAGAUACGACCCAGACUCCUAUGGGAGGCAACAGUGGGGAGUAUUGCACAAUGGGCGGAAGCCUGAUGCAGUGACGCCGCGUGCGGGAUGACGGCCUGCGGGUUGUAAUCCGCUUUCGCCUGUGACGAGGCGUGAGUGACGGUAAUGGGUAAAGAAGCACCGGCUAACUACGUG
rnacentral:rRNA from 1 species